rnacentral:lncRNA from 1 species
AAAGGAUAAAGUAUCUAUCCAAAAAAGUGACUCAUUGAUGAUUGAAACUUGAAGAUCAAGAAGAACAAAACUCAAUCUAACUCAAGAUAUAUCCUAGUUAAAAUUGUGAGAAGACAGUAAAACAAGAUAGUUUAAGAAAUAAAGCUGUUGAGAAGAAUAAGUCACCUAAAGCAAAAAAAAAAAAAGAAGCAGAGCUUGAGAUGACCGAUCUUGAGGAGACAAAAUCGAUAGUUGUAAA